GGGGGCGUGGCGAAAUUGGUAGACGCACUGGAUUUAGGUUCCAGCGCCGCAAGGUGUAAGAGUUCGAGU
rnacentral:tRNA from 32 species